rnacentral:rRNA from 1 species
GGUCAUGCGCGGAGCUGAUGCAGCACGCCGCGUGCGGGAUGACGGCCUUCGGGUUGUAAACCGCUUUCGCCUGUGACGAAGCGUGAGUGACGGUAAUGGGUAAAGAAGCACCGGCUAACUACGUGCCAGCAGCCGCGGUGAUACGUAGGGUGCGAGCGUUGUCCGGAUUUAUUGGGCGUAAAGGGCUCGUAGGUGGUUGAUCGCGUCGGAAGUGUAAUCUUGGGGCUUAACCCUGAGCGUGCUUUCGAUACGGGUUGACUUGAGGAAGGUAGGGGAGAAUGGAAUUCCUGGUGGAGCGGUGGAAUGCGCAGAUAUCAGGAGGAACACCAGUGGCGAAGGCGGUUCUCUGGGCCUUUCCUGACGCUGAGGAGCGAAAGCGUGGGGAGCGAACAGGCUUAGAUACCCUGGUAGUCCACGCUGUAAACGGUGGGUACUAGGUGUGGGGUCCAUUCCACGGGUUCCGUGCCGUAGCUAACGCUUUAAGUACCCCGCCUGGGGAGUACGGCCGCAAGGCUAAAACUCAAUGAAAUUUUGACGGA